CGAAAUGUAAGCGGAAACGGGUGAGAAUGAGCUGAGGAUGCUGUGCCGUUUUAGUCUAGGCUCCGCCUUUGAAACUCAAUUCGAAAAUGAAAUUCAAGUAUCAAAAGAAACACAAGCCACUCAAAUCAAUUAAACACGCUCUUCGACACUUGGCACACGGUGAGUAAUGAGACGGCACCACGCCCCACGCCCCACGCACUUUAAUCACUCACUCGGCAGCUCUGGGCAAGGCUGUGCUAUAUUUGGGCACUCCUCCCUUGUGUCCGGUCCAUCAGAAUGGCGUUUUAACCCAACUCCACUGCCAGUACCUGGGCUGCUGUCCGUUGUGCCAUCUGUGCGGAUUCUCGUGCGUCGCAGCGACAUGUGCGCGACACCCAUGGGACAUCUGCACUUGGAUAUAGUGAGCUGGCAUAACAUGGCAACUAAAUAAAUUGAUUAAUGCUGGCGGAGCAAUAAAGAAA
rnacentral:lncRNA from 1 species